rnacentral:rRNA from 1 species
GACGAACGCUGGCGGCGUGCUUAACACAUGCAAGUCGAACGGAAAGGCCCUGCUUUUGUGGGGUGCUCGAGUGGCGAACGGGUGAGUAACACGUGAGUAACCUGCCCUUGACUUUGGGAUAACUUCAGGAAACUGGGGCUACUACCGGAUAGGAGCUGCUGUUGCAUGGUGGGGGUGGGAUAGUUUCGGCGGUUGGGGAUGGACUCGCGGCUUAUGAGCUUGUUGGUGGGGUAGUGGCUUACCAAGGGUUUGACGGGUAGCCGGCCUGUGAGGGUGGCCGGCCACAUUAGGACUAAGAGACGGCCCAGAGUCCAACGGGAGGCAGCGGGGGGAAGUAUUGCACAAUGGUCGGAAGCCUGAUGCAGCAACGCCGCGGUCGGGAUGACGGCCUUUGGGUUGUAAACCGCUUUCGCCUGUGACGAAGCGUGAGUGACGGUAAUGGGUAAAGAAGCACCGGCUAACUACGUG